CCCCUCUCAGGGUUGCACCUGGAGAGUUUUCAGUCCUUUACCAGUCUCAGCUCCAGUAGGGAGAGUCAAGCAGAGGCCUACCCAUUCCAUUCCUAGCUUGGCCAGUGGCUAGCGAGUGGAAGGCAAUCUGCUACAAGU